AAAGAUUUAAGUACACGCAGAAGCCUGGAGAUGCCAGUCGGUGCCACAGUAGGAUGAAAGGAUGUAUGUGCCAGCCCUUUCUAAAUGUUACCAGUGCUGUGCUUGAGAAGGCAGGUGUUGGGACAGAAACAGUGCUGAUGCUUUCAAACUUGAGUCUGUGUCACCAUAGGUCAGUCUGGGAAAAGAUGCUUCCCACCACCAAAGAGAAUGCCAGGAAACAGCCAGUGUCUCCGUGG
rnacentral:lncRNA from 1 species